UACUCACAAUUGGAGUUAUGGGAGCUCAGCAUCUCCGAAAAAUCAGACCACUUAUUUAGGUGCCUAUCUUUAGGCACCCAUGUUUGAAAACGUUGGCCUAAGUCUGUGUUUUACUAUAUCCUCCCCUGCUAAAGGAAGAACUAAUGGUAGAGUGGGAUUGCCAGGUGGUGUGACUGCCAAAUCUUGUGAAAAACAGAUUCUUAGGAAGAGUGUGUUCCCCCCAUUCAUACCACCCACAAAGCAAUGGCCACAUAAUUAUGCCUUUGACUGGGGCCCUGCGCUAGCAGCAGACAUGCAUUCUCCAUGGUGUUUUCAAGCUGUAGAGGGAGGAAUUAUUGAUUCCUGGAACAGAGUAGACUAUGUUUUAUUUUUCAGUGUAACUUAUUGGCUCUGGAGAGACCAGGGCAUAUGGAUUGACUAUUCCCUAAAUCUUCCCAUAUCAGGUUUUCCAUGCACUCUCUCUCAUCCCCCAUUCAUGUAGAGCUCACCAUGCAUGUUGUGGCCACAGAAGGGCUAGAGAGUUGUACAGAGUGAGCAGGAUAUAGUGUUAAACCAGCUAUUUUUCCCUUCCUAGCAACUCUCUUCACCCAUUUUCCAUGGAUUUACUCUCCUCUGCACCAUUCAGCACAGUGGAACACGUGGCCAUUUGUUAUUGUAGAACAUACCUUAAAGAUAUGUUUGUGGUAAUAAAAAGAAAACAUCUCUCACAGCUAAAGUUUCCACUGACAUAAUUGUUAUCAGUGAUUACCCUGCACAUUCCAGGAAGUUUUCAGAUAGUAUAGAAGGCUAACCAGAGUCAUACAAACAAUUGUGGAACAACACUGGCAUUCACUGAUGCUAAACUGGAUGCUGGAGUAUUAGCCACUUUUAACUUUAACAAGUACUGGAUAUAUAACUGACACAUAAACAACACAUUAAAUAUGCCAGCUGGAACACUGACAAGUGAAGAAAGGAAGGAGGGGAAAGAGCUUAGAUAUUUUAAGUGAUCAUCUGAACAAGUAUUGCCCCAACUUAUUGUUCUUCUAUUUACCUUAAAAUUCUUCAUAAAAGGCUAUUUAUACUUGAAAUAUUUGACAGACUAUUUAGAUUUAGCUGGAUAAUACCAACAGUUGUGAAACACAGUAUUUAAUUUAUUACUGCUUAAUAUGUUGAACCAGCAUACCUGGGACUACAAGUUAAAAUUCCAUAGAAGAGUAUAUAAAGGAAUCCAAGACCUUCCUACAGAGGAGAAAUACACACUGCCACUUGACAGCAUUUAAUUUGUAACAAACUUACUGGUUAUAUCUGCCAAUGUUUUUCUGACAGUUGUAUGCUCUAUAUUUACUACUGCUAAGAAAUUUUGCUGAGUUGUUUGUGAAGUUUAAGAACAUUUAGGAAAGUAUGGUGUCUAAAAAAACCAAAACAAUGGGUUUGAUAUCAAUUUUUUCCAUUUAUUAUUUGUAUUAUAGUUUCAUCCCAAGGUCCAAAUGAGAUCAAGGCCCUGUGGUUCUGAGCAUUGUACAGAUACACAGUAAGAAACAGGUCCUGCCUCAAAGAGUUUACAGUUUAGAUUAAGACAAAACAUAACAAAAGGAUAGAAGAAACAGAUGGAGGGAAUGGAGAACACAAGUAACAUGAACACAUGAUUGCAUAGAUUAACUAUGGACAUAAUUUGCAGGGUAUUUUUAAAGUAUUAAUAAAUAAGAUAAUGAUAUCAGUUAUCCCAGCUGGCCACCUGUUUAUCCAUUAUCAGCUGGCAAUUUAUUGUAGGCAUGGAUCACGGCAGAAGUAGGUGUGAUGCUGGCAGACUAGGUGCCAACUCAUGCCAACGGCCCAGGCCCUCAUUGAACACUGGCAAGUGCAUAACUGGAAACCAGUCUAUCUUACCCGUGGAUUAGUAUAGUUUAAAUAGAUAUUAGUGUUAUAAGAAUGUGUUUAGACUUUAUGUAAUGCCUGGUGAAAUCUAAUUAUAGAAUGUAGGGGAGCAGUUGCCCCACUUUGGCAGACAAAGGGUUAAUAGCAGCCCUUGGAGCAGCUGCUCAGAACAAGGCCAAUCAGAGAAGGCUUGGAAGCAGCCAAUCAGGACCAGGCUGGGCCCUAUAUAAAGGCUGCAAAGCAGAAGACACAGAAGUCUCUCCUUGACAAGCAAGGGAGGGCUGGCUCCCAGGGAUAGCACCUUGGAUAGAGCAGAGCAGGGCUGGGCAGGCUCAGGGGAGCAGAGGAAAAGCUCCAGCCUCAUACCUGCCAGGCUGAGGCCCCUGACGGAAAGGGCCAAGAAGGUGCAGGACUGAAGGGAAGUGGCCCAGGGAGCGUGAGCAGUAGAGGGGAGAGGAAGAAGGCAGGACAUGGCUGCCACCAGAGGGUCCCUGGGCUGGGACCCAGAGUAGUGGGUGGGCCUAGGUUCCCCCCCAUCCCCCUUACACUGCACCUGGCUAUGGAGGAGCGUGACCCGAUACAGACUAUUGCCCCUGUGGCAAGGGGAUACACUUUGUGGCUGCAGUUGGCUAUGAGCGCAGGUGCAGCCUGAUACCCUGGAAGGGGAGAGAACUGAGUGGGGCAGAGCUGGAGGGCUGUGUCCAGAAGAGGAUGCUGCAAGCCAGGGAGCAACGUGGGUUCCAGACAGCACAGCAGAUCAGACAACAGGCCAGACACCACCUGCAGAGGGCGCUCCACAACUGGACAGAAUUAAUUCCUGGAGCAACCAGCAGGAGGCGCUGCUGUGGUGAUUUGGCGCUCCGUUACAUAGAACAUACAACCAAUCUGGAGGUUCUGCCCGGGUUUUUGGCUAUCUGCCCUAAAGAUGGCACUCACGGUCAAGAGCCACUCGUGCCAGCAUCACAGUGGGUCUUAAGGAGGGACUUGCAGGAGGAGAGGAUAGUGGCUUCACACACAAGGAGUAACGUGGAACAGAGGAAAGCCUAAUCUUUAUAAGGGCCCAGCAGUGCUUGCCUUCAUGACCACAGUCUAGCUCUCCAGCUCCCUCUGUGAUCCAGCUCUUUCUCCUCCCAGGAGCCAGCCAACAAUCCUUCUCAGGAGCCAACGAGUGAUCUUUCCCACUCCUCUCCAGGAGCCAGCUGUCACAUUCAAACACCCAGAGUUCUGAAUGAGCAGUCCAGGUGGAGUUUCUGACUGGAAGUUCAAGCUUCUGUGUGUCUCUGUGCAUGCAAUGAUAUAUGUUCCUUUUGAUCUUUGUCCAACAUUAUACCUCAGUCACA